AUUGAACGCUGGCGGCAGGCCUAACACAUGCAAGUCGAACGAGUGGCGGACGGGUGGGUAAUGGCUGGGAAACUGCCCGAGGGAGGGGGAUAGCUAAUGGGAACGGUAACCAAUACCGCCUACAAUCGGCUGUGCCGCGGUGGGAUUAGCUAGUGGGGGGGGUAAUGGCUCACCUAGGCGCCGAUCCCUAGCUGGUGGGAGAGGAGGACCAGCCACACUGGAACUGAGACACGGUCCAGACUCCUACGGGAGGCAGCAGGGGGGAAUAUUGCACAAUGGGCGCAAGCCUGAUGCAGCCAUGCCGCGUGUAUGAAGAAGGCCUUCGGGUUGUAAAGUACUUUCAGCGAGGAGGCGUUACGCGCAGAAGAAGCACCGGCUAACUCCGUGCCAGCAGCCGCGGUAAUUC
rnacentral:rRNA from 1 species